UGAAUCAGAAUCAGCAGGGUGCAGGCCAGAAACCGGUGUUUCAAAAACUCUCUGGGUGAUUCUGAUGCACUGUAGUGUUUGAGAAGAACUACUUUAAAGUUUGCAGUUACUCCCAUGUACAUUGUAAGAGUUUUACCUCCAUCUUAUGAAGUAGAGAUGUUUUGACCCAUUCUACAACGGAAUAAGAGAAGGCACAGAGAAUAUAAGAUAAAUACUUCAAAUAACACAUGACUCACAGAAAUAUACUGGAAUGCUGUCUCCAAUCAAGGAGAAACUACUUUUAAAUCACUUUUAAUGUCAAAGAACAUUUCGCAGCCAUCUUGCUUGCAUGUAUGAACUGUCAACUCUCAUACAUGUCUUCUUGUUGCUUAGUAUCUCUUUUUUUUUAGAUACUCUCAUCCUACAACCAGUAGACUCCUCCUGAGGGGUAUGAAGAUUAUGUUCUAACUGGAGAAGGUGUCGAGUCCCUUUGCUGUCACUUUCCUGUUGAUUUUAUUUCGGUAAAUCUUCCUAGUCCAAGGAAGAAAGCUUUGAUCACUUGAAAUCCUGAAAGAGACUAAAAACGACACUGAAAUUGCCUUUGUGUGGAGAUAAUAAAUAUAAUUGGCCCAGUCAUGAAGAGUGUGCCUGUGAUAUUGGAGCAGCUGGUUAGCUAUGAUGGGAUCCAGCUGUCCCUGACACCCCACUUUAUGAAUCAACUGGAAAAGGAAAUGAGAGAGACAAGAGAGGCCAUGGAGUCAAAAGAAGAGAACAAUGAGGCUCAAAAAAAGUUGCCCAUGAUGACUUCAAGAGGUGGUGGUAGCUUUGCAGCCACCGCAUCUUAAUUUAGUGCUACGGAGGAAAGAAUUGGAAAUAAUAAGAAUAUUUGACUCUAAACAUAAAGGCCUGUAACUCAUCGUCUAUCUUUUGUUCACCCUCAGAAGCAAUAAUCCCAGUGGAAAAACUUUUUCCUCUUUGAUCUGUCUGGACAAAUCAAUUUAAGAUUUCUGAAACAAAGAGGAUAUGGACGAGGGAAGAGUCAAGUCUUAAAACCAUGUUAGAGUUCUAUCACCAAGACUCCAACAGUUAAAACUAUCUUGCCUAUCUUUUUAAAUCUCUUAAAUAGACUUAAAUAUCUUUUUUGGACAACCUUAUUUCAGUUGUAACCAAGCAGUCGUAUGAAGAAGAAGACGGAAAAGGAAGGGACGGAAGGGGAGCGAGAGGGAGAGGGAAGUCACUACUUAGAUCUUGAAGAACUUGUUUUCAUAAGAUGCCCAGGCUGAUUUUUCUGCUAGAAUAUACCAUUUAGGAAUUGUUAUCCUUUUUUAGCAAAAGGCAGUGCAGGAUGCAGUAAUACUACAAGAAUGUGAACAGAAUAGAAAUCCCAGUGCUUUUGCCUGUGGGAUUUCACAUAAAAAAUGGGUGAGAAGUGGAUGAAGAGCCCUCACUGUGUGUAACUUAGUAAAUUGCCACCCUUUUGGUUCUAAGAACAUACUUCUUCAAGAUGGACAAAGUUACUAUAGUUUAGGAGGGGACAAAUAAAUGCAAAGAGAAGAGUA
rnacentral:lncRNA from 1 species